GUGGAUCGGAAACCCAGUGACAACACCCGGGUUUGCAGCUGCCAUUUUCCGGUGGGAAAGAGAAAUGGCCCUGUAUUUACCAGAAAAGGUGGCUCAUCCACCAUGGCAGAAGAGGAAGAUCCAGACUGUUGAUUGGGAAUCAAGAACAAACAAUGAGGCAUGAGGAUUAGGUGUUGAGGGACCACUUGUCACAUUGUCCAAGGAGUGCAUGGACAUUCUGUGCCAGUGUGAUCUGAGCACAAGCGUCCAGUUGUGGAGACUACAGCUCAUCGAGCCUGUGGACGGACAGACAGUGCAUGAACAAUUCAGCAAGGAGAUCUGCUGGAAGUGAUGUACUCUCUCUCUCUCACUUUGGGGGUACAGGCAGGGAUGGACUGGGGCCUUCAGCAAAUAAGACGCAAGUGGCAAUAAAUAAUUUGAACGUCACAGAUAUAAAUCCCCAAUGUGCCCAUGAUAAAUUUAACUACAAUACUUUAGUUGGCUGCUUUGAGAAAAACGUGUCUGUAAUAUAACCUAUUCUGGGAGCUUAGUGUGUGUGUAUGAACUAUGUGGAAUAUUUGUGGACCAUUGGCUUCCAUGAAAACAGGUACUGACAGGAAGAGUAAUAUGAGUCUGCCAGAGGUCGUCACGCUGGAUGGAGAUGAUGAUGGAGGCUUUGGUGGUCAACACAACGAAGAAGCAGGUGUCCCUUCCAGUGAUGUGGAGUUGACCUUGGACCUGGUUCCAGUAAGAAUUGUCUUCACGGAGGCUGGACAUUUGACCUCCACCACUGCUGUGGUGCACACCAGACCAUCCGGUGAGGCACUCAGGAUCCCAGAACCCGUGACCGAAAGCCAUGACUCCUGCACAUCCAUCCCUGUAGCCAUGUUGAAUGCCUUGAUGCCCUCCUCUUUGUUAUCUGUGCCCCCACUUCGUAAAAUAUUUAAUAAACUUUAAUUUUCACAUGAGGACAUGUGCAGUUUUUCCAUGAACUUUUAAUUGCUAACUUGGGAUUGUAUCACUUGACAUAUCAUAUAGUGGAAGGAUCCUAUAUAUCAAGACUGUGUGAAUGCAUGUAACACUCCGAAUAAAUAAAUACUGUACCUUUGAA